GACGAACGCUGGCGGCGUGCCUAACACAUGCAAGUCGAGCGAGUGAAUCUCCUUCGGGAGUGAAGCUAGCGGCGGACGGGUGAGUAACACGUGGGCAACCUGCCUCAUAGAGGGGAAUAGCCUUCCGAAAGGAAGAUUAAUACCGCAUAAGAUUGUAACUUCGCAUGAAGUAGCAAUUAAAGGAGCAAUCCGCUAUGAGAUGGGCCCGCGGCGCAUUAGCUAGUUGGUGAGGUAACGGCUCACCAGGGCGACGAUGCGUAGCCGACCUGAGAGGGUGAUCGGCCACAUUGGGACUGAGACACGGCCCAGACUCCUACGGGAGGCAGCAGUGGGGAAUAUUGCACAAUGGGGGAAACCCUGAUGCAGCAACGCCGCGUGAGUGAUGACGGCCUUCGGGUUGUAAAGCUCUGUCUUCAGGGACGAUAAUGACGGUACCUGAGGAGGAAGCCACGGCUAACUACGUGCCAGCCGCCGCUGUAACAC
rnacentral:rRNA from 1 species